CUCCGUUUUGCAGUUACGGUUCAGAUUGGGAGUCCCAGAAAUUAAAUCGGUCUCAGGAAAAAAGAUCCCAGAGAAGCAGAGAAAAUGAUUUAAACCAGAAUGGUUUGGAUUUCCUCUUGAUGUUGUAGCUAAGGGGAUUUUAAGGCCCUGCUGACCCUCGUUUGACUCUAGGCAGAGUUCCGGGAUUAUCCUCCAGUGCUGAGACAGGCCGUCUCCCUGGCCCGGCGCAUCCAGGACCCUCUGAUUGAAUUUGCCCAGGUGUGCAGUUCCGAUGAAGACAUCCUAUGUCUCAAGUUUCACCCCUUGCAGGUGAGUAGGAUUUGACAGGCAGGCUUGGGUGAAGGGUAAGGCAGAGUAACCUUACUCCUGCCUGCUGAAUGUCCACAGGAGCAUGUGGUGAAAGAGGAGCUGCUCAACGCCUUGUACUGUGAAUUUAUCAACCGAGUCAAUGAGGUCGGGGUCGAUGUCAACCGUGCCAUUGCCCACCCUUACAGCCAGGCCUUGAUCCAGUAUGUUUGUGGCUUGGGACCUCGGAAAGGGACCCACCUCCUGAAGAUCCUGAAGCAGAACAACACCCGGCUCGAGAGCCGGACCCAGCUGGUCACCAUGUGCCACAUGGGUCCCAAAGUCUUCAUGAAUUGUGCUGGCUUCCUCAAGAUCGACACGGCCUCCCUGGGGGACAGCACUGACUCAUAUAUUGAAGUCCUUGAUGGUUCCCGUGUCCACCCUGAGACUUAUGAGUGGGCUAGGAAGAUGG
rnacentral:sRNA from 1 species